GCAUUGGUGGUUCAGUGGUAGAAUUCUUGCCUUCCAUGCGGGAGACCUGGGUUCGAUUCCGGCCGAUGUA
rnacentral:tRNA from 1 species